AAACGCUGGCGUCUUUGAUAUUUUCAUUUUUCCCACCCCUCUCUCUCUCUCUCUCUCACGCACACACACUCUCUCUCUCUUUCCAUCUUCCAUCUUCGAGUUCUCUCUCUCUCUCUCUCUCUCUCUCUCUCUUCAUCUUUCAUCUACGAGUUCACUCCUGCCGACAUCAGUUUGUUGAUCCACCUUCACCAAGUUGACAUCGCCCCCCACCCUCUCUCGAUCUCGCCAUCGAUCUCGGUCAGUACAUGGAUAUCACCUCUCUCAAAGCUUUGGAAGUCAUCAACAUUCAAUUGGUACCUUCCCAAUGGUCUUACAGAUCCAAAAUUUGCAUUUUUAUUUGCAGUUUGCACUCAUCUGUUUUCAUCUCUCUCUUUUAAUUCCUUCAAAAACCCUAGAGUUUGAAGACUUGAUGGUGAUGAAAUAAAUGAGGAGAUCUAUGUGCAGGUUUUUUGGCUCAAACCCAAAUUAUAAACAUUCAUAUCUAUCACAGUUGAUGUCGUUUCGUUCAUCGAUUCACAUAUAAAUCCAGCAAAAUCCAAGAGUCAAAGAGGAGUUGUGCAGUUUUAUCCAGUAGAGUUGGAGCAGGAGGUUUACAAGAGUACUCUUCAAUGCAGUUGAACAUUCUCGGAGGCAUCUUCUGUUUGUUGUUUUUUUUUUUUUUUGAACAUUAAACUUGCACAUGUUGAGACUGCAUUGAGUUUGUGGUCAUCUCUCUCUCUCUCUCUCUCUCAAUUUGGUAUGCAACUUAUGCAUUAUGGUCAUUAGCCUUUCUGGCCACGCUAAUAUUCUCUGUCGUGUUCUAUGAAAUAGUUAUGAAGUGUCAGUUUUCUCUUGCACAAACCACCCUCCUGCAAAAAAAGAUGGGCAAAUUCCUAAAUUCUCAAACGCUUGGCAAUGCAUUUGCUUAUUUGCAAUACAAUUAUCCCUUUUUUCAAAUGACAAUAAACCUGUUAACUGUGCUACUAGCUCUUCUUGAAUUAUUUUGCAUAUAUGCUUGAUCGUACAAAUUGGAAAACUGUGGUUGAUAAUUAGUGUUGUGUGGUGGUCUUGACAAAGUUAUCUGGCUUGGCUCUCAAGUUAAUAAACUUGAGCUUGAAAUUUAUUGAAUGUUAUAUACUAUUAAGAUCACUGUGCAGCUUACUAGAAAAAAGUAUCUCCAUAAUUGCUUGGUAUCGGACUGUGCUUAAAUUCAAAUCAUUUGUGCUUGUGCAAAAAUUUUGGUUCAGCUAAAAUAUUGUAAAUUGUGUUUUUUUAAAGCUAAACUCUAGCAUUGUUCAACCAUGUAUAUUAAUAAAUAGUCAAUGAGUCUUGAUAACUUGGUUUUGGAAUCCUCGAAUGAGGAUUGAUAUCAUUUGGAUGGCCAAAAUUGAUGGGAAUCCUUUUUGAGGAGUUUUGAGAUGCCCAUGACUGAAAUUUUAUAUAAAAUUCAUCUGCCCUUUGAUGGUUUUUACGGCAUUUUGUUGUUAGAAACAUCAUAUUCUAAACCAUCCUCAAAUCAUUUAGGCAAGUUUGUCUCUGAGAAUAUUUUCAAUGAGCUUCAUAAUCAUAUUUAUGUGUUAGGAAAUUUAGGACUAUUGAAUUAAUUACCAAUAAAUCUGUUGAGAAACAUACUUAUUCAUAAAAACAUAAAAUGAAGACUCAAAAUAACUUGAGACUUGAUUACAUAAGGUAGGCUUGUGUGAAAUUGCUAAUUUGACCUUAUUCUUUUUGGCGUGCUAUGCAUCAAUUUAGAAUGUUUUUUUGACAUUGAUAUAUAGGUUGAAUUAGCUGAUAAUACAUCAUAAAAAUUACAAGACACUGCAUCAUUUUGAUAUAGAACUAGUAUGCAACAGAUAACUGUCAAGUGAUCCUUGCUGCAAAACAUUGCAGAGUGUAUAUAUGUCUGUGUGUCUCUUUCUAUGUCUGUGUAGAGAGAAAGAUGGAGGACUGAUUGGCGGAUAGACAGAUGAAUGCUACAAGUUUAUGAAUAAUAACUAGUGAGCUGUAUGCAACUCAAAAAGUGUGGAUGCUGUUGUUGCUGCUAUGAUGAAUUAUUCUGCAGCAGCUUAUAAGCAUAGACUUAGAAUUUCUCUCUAGUUGAGCUAUCCACUGGAGUAUGGUAACUUGACUAAUUGGCUAUGCCGAUUCAAACAAGAUUUGAUCAUUUUUUAGAUGAUGUCACUGUACUUGACCUAUUGCUUGAUUGAUUUUGGAUCUUACAAAUUUACGUGUAAAGUCAAUUGACUAAUUGCACUUUGAUUUGACUUAGAUAUUUGGAUUGAGUUCUUCAGUGGCUAUAAGGGCAGACUUUUUGAAGGAUUUAGACUAUGAAAACAUAAAGCAAACAAUUUUUGGGACUAGGAAAUCCCUUUUUGUCCUAAUACAAACUUUGGGGUGUCAUCAUUUGUGAGUGGAAAGUACAUGCUGACUUCAGCAAGUUUCUACUCCAGCUACUUUCAGAAAUUCCUGAAGUUACCGAGGUUCCAAGCUUUAGUGGGGAAGCAUAGUCUUACUUGCAAGGAUUGAUUGAUGGAUUUACCAUAAAUGAUGCCUUGGAAGUUAAAAAUAUAGAGAAAGUGACAAACCAUGAUGUGAAAGUAGUGGAAUGCUUCUUAAAAUAGAAAUGCCAAUCACAUCUAGAGAUUGCGAAGCUGGCAUUCCAAAAUCUACUCAUUUCCACCUCAUUACUAUGAUUCGUUAAUGUCAAAUGCAACCAUAAAGCAAGCUAAUUGGGAUGCUUCAAAAGUUCGUACAGGGUUGAGACAAGAGCUAAGGGAUGAGAUUAGAGACGAAUUGAGGAAGGCGAUGUGAGCAGAGCUUUCGACACAAAUACAACAAAUGAAAGCUGAAAAUGUUGGCUAUCGUGUCUCAGGAAGGGAGUACAAAUCACAACAAACAGGUACCGGAUGCAUUGAGUGGCCACCGAGAACCUACAGAUUAUAAGGCCGAUGAGAACCCCCAUACACCACCACUAGAUGAUGAGAUGUGACCCCUUUUGAGUAUGUGAUGAUAUCUUCACAUAUCGAUAUUAGAGUUUACUAUUGACAUUAAAACAAGUUAUAAUAUAUAUAUUUUUUAUUUGUAUUGUCAAUACUUUUAUAUUGCUUUAGAUACAAAAAUUUAAGUUCUUGAAUAUAAAAAAUUAUUAGUAUUGUUGGAGAAUGUUUUAUAUAUUUUUGUGAAGAAUAUUUGGUUGACAAUUGUUAUGGGAUACAUAUAUACGUAUGA